ensembl:lncRNA
CUGGAAGCUGGCCAACUUAGAGUGUGGACUUUGCACUGUGAGCUCUCAGGGAAGGUAUGAGGUAGGGCAGUGAUUCCUGAUUGUGACUAUGCAUCAGAACCCCCUGGCGGGCUUGUUCCAACCUAGGUAGACCCAUGCUGUGUGGUCCCACCCCAGAGUUUGUGAUUCAAUAACUCCUGGGUAGAGCCUGAGAUUUUGCAUUUCUAACAGGCUCCCAGGUAAUGUGGACCACACUUUGAGCAGUCCUGAUGAAGAGGAUGAAUCUGGAGCCUCACAGGGCAGCCUUAGAGCCCAUCUGCUCCAGGAUGGAGCCCUACUGGGAAACCUCAGUGUUUCCAUCCUGUACGUGCUGGAUCCCAGCCCUUGGUCACAAGCUCUGAGUGUGAAUAAUGCUAAUCCACAAGAGGGCCACCAAUGCACUCACUGUGCAUCCAUCGGGAUGGAUGGAAUCAGCUACACAGUCUGUAAUUCUUAGUGUUAUAGUUUGCUUUCCUUCAGCUCUUUGAGGGUUGUGUAAACUGCAGUUCUCAACCUUUGUAUGUUUGAGAAAUUUUGAAGUCUUUGUGGUUUUAUUCUUCUCCUUGUUAUUUUUAUACUAGGAAAGUAUUUUGGAUUUACAGAGGAGUUGUAAAAAUGGUACAGAGAGUUCACGCACUUCCCUCAAUGUUACAUUAAAGCUUCAUAAUCAGGGCACAUUCAUCAAAGCUAAGAAACUGACAUUGGCAACCACUGGCUUUAUUCAGAUUUCACCAGUUUUCCCACUAAUGUCCUCUUCCUUUCCAGGAUCCCAUCUAAGAUCCUGCAUUAACAUCUUUCUCUAGUCUCUGCCAUUCUGUGACAGUUUCUCAGUCUUUCCUUGUUUUUCCAUGACUUUGAAUUUUGAAGAGCACUUAGCAAGUAUUUUGUAGAAUAUCCCCAAGAUUUUGUCAUGUUUUUCAAGAUUAGACUGGGAUUAUGGAUUUGGGGGAAGAAUACCCAAGAGGUGAGGUGGGAUAUGUGAUAUUAACAUGCCUUCCUUGUUGUCAAUCACCCGGUUAAAGUAAUUAGCCUUAACUUGCCAGAUUUCUCAACUGUGAAGUUACUAUUUUUCCACUUUUCAUCCUCUAGAAGCAAGUCACUAAGUCCCGUCCCAGGGAAACUUCCCAGAGGGAGGUGUAUCAAAGAACUUGUGGGCGUCUGUUAAAACCACUAUCGUAAUUAGUAUUUUGAAGAAGAUACUCUGAGGCUAGGGAAAUAUUCUAUUUCUUCUUAAAGUUUUACCCACUCUUUUAGCAUUCAUCAGCGGAUCCUGCCUGUAGCAAUCAUUAAUGUGUUACAGAAAAAAUACUUCUUAGCAUCAUGGUAUCCAUUGUUUCAGAAAAUCCAUAAUAUCAAUAAGAUAUUGUGAAAUCAGUUUUUGUAUUGUUAUAAAUCACAAUAAAAUCUCCAUAGUCAAUAUAGAUUUAAACCUU